rnacentral:rRNA from 1 species
GAAACCCUAAGGCGCAAUGAAAGUGAAGGUCAGGCACAGCACUGACUGAGGCAGGAUCCGUCCGGGUGAGCGAAGCUCUUCUUCCUUUCGCGGGUUCGUCCCGCGGGGGAGCUCGGCGGCGCACUGCCAGCCCAUCUCGGCCGCUUCCGUCGGCGAGGUGGAGCUAGAGCGCACACGUUGGGACCCGAAAGAUGGUGAACUAUGCUCGGGCAGGACGAAGCCAGAGGAAACUCUGGUGGAGGUCCGUAGCGAUUCUGACGUGCAAAUCGAUCGUCGGACCCGAGUAUAGGGGCGAAAGACUAAUCGAACCGUCUAGUAGC